rnacentral:rRNA from 1 species
CCUACGGGUGGCAGCAGUGGGGAAUAUUGCACAAUGGGGGAAAGCCUGAUCCAGCGACGCCGCGUGAGUGAAGAAGGAUCUCGGUACGUUAAGCUCUAUUAGUAGGGAAGAAAAUGGCGGUACGUGACUAAGAAUCCCCGGACAACUACGUGCAAGCAGGCGCGGUAAUACGUCGGGGGCAAGCGUUAUCCGGAUUUACUGGGUGUAAAGGGAGUGUAGACGGCAGAACAAGUCUGGAGUGAAAUCGUGGGGCUUAACCGCGGAACUGCUUUGGAAACUGUGAGUCUUGAGUGCAGGAGAGGUAAGCGGAAUUCGUGGUGUAGCGGUGAAAUGCGUAGAUAUUAGGAGGAACACCGAUGGCGAAGGCAGCUUACUGGACUGUAACUGACGUUGAGGCUCGAAAGCGUGGGGAGCAAACAGGAUUAGAUACCCUGGUAGUC